GCCUUCGUGGUGCAACGGUAGCACAUUCGGUGCCUAUACGAAAGGCCCAGGUUCGAGUCCCGGCGAAGGCA